rnacentral:misc_RNA from 1 species
GAAAAAUGUGUUUCUUUUUAUGUUGCAUCUAAGGUUCUAAUGGAAUCUUUCAUUAAAUUUCUAUUCCAUUGGAAUAUAUUGUUUGGAAAAGCUAUAUUCCUAUUUAUAUUCUGGAAUAUGAUUACAGGAAUAUUAUUACUCUAAAUUGACAUCUAUUUGUUGAAGGCAACUUUUUAUUUUAUGUACGUGUCAUAUUUCUCACCUUAGUCCCACAUUUAUCAGCUCAAAAGGCCAAAGUGGUUGG